AGAUUAAGAAGACAACAUUUGCUUCUACAACCUUGCCACAGCCUGACAUCAAGUUUCAGGCCAAGUUGAGGGUUUUCUUUUCUUUAUUUUUUAAAGUUUAUUUAUUUAUUUUCAAAGAGAGAGAGAGAGAGAGAGCCAGUGCAAGAGCAGGAGAGGGGCAGAGAGAGAAGGAGAGAAAAUCCCAAGCAGGCUCCAUGCUGUCAGUGCAGAGCCUGAUGAGGGCUCCAUCCCAAGAACCACAAGAUCAUGACCUGAGCCAAAAUUGAGAGUCAGGCGCUUAACUUACUAAGCCACCCAGACGCCCCCAACUUGAGGGUUUUCUAACACAAAUAUUCUCAGUCUUUGUGGAUAACCAGAUCCAUUAGAGAAUCUGUAGUACUUAUAGUCUGUGUAAGAAGUCAACAGCAUGGAAUGGAGACAUUUACAAGUAUGGUUGACCAUUACAGGUUCAGCUGUAUAAACUAAAACUAGAAAUGAUGAAGAAGAAGAAAGGAAGAUGGAAUCCAUGUUCUUUAGUGGACACAGAAGUGAAGAGCAGCCAGCUAAAUUAACCUGGAUUGAUGAAUAAGAGGGAAAUUCGGAUAGUGAGACAUGGACACAGAGAGAAGAAUGCUAUUUGAAGACACAGAGACACAUUCAAGGAAGAACACCAGGUGAAAACAAAGGCAUGUAUUGGAGAGAGGCAGCUUCAAGCCAAGAAAUGCCAAAGAUUUCCAGCAAUCAUCACAAUCUAGGAAGAGGAAGAAAAGUCUUCCCUAGAGCCUUCAAAGACAGAGCACGACUCAGCCAACACCUUUAUUUUGGAUUUCUAGCCUCCAGAACUGUGAGAGAAUAAAUUUCUGUUGCUUUAA